rnacentral:rRNA from 1 species
GACGUAGGGCGCGAGCGUUGUCCGGAUUUAUUGGGCGUAAAGAGCUCGUAGGCGGCUUGUCGCGUCGACUGUGAAAUCCCGCGGCUCAACUGCGGGUCUGCAGUCGAUACGGGCAGGCUUGAGUUCGGUAGGGGAGAUCGGAAUUCCUGGUGUGAGCGGUGAAAUGACGCAGAUAUCAGGAGGAACACCGGUGGCGAAGGCGGAUCUCUGGGCCAUUACUGACGCUGGAGGAGCGAAAGCGUGGGGAGCGAACAGG